GCCGCGGUAGCUUAAUAGGUAAAAGCGACCGGCUCAUAACCGGAGGAUAGUUGAGUUCGAAUCUCUCCCGCGGCACCA
rnacentral:tRNA from 1 species